CGCCGGAGCUAUUUGCUAAAUUGGCGAGUGUAGCGACAGGACGUCGCGGAAAGCGUAGUUGAGCCAUGGAUGGCGAAUCUGCGCGGCCGUCAAUUUAGUGAAUAGCGCAGGGA
rfam:Osedax symbiont Rs1 5221_231, whole genome shotgun sequence.